AGAAAGAGCAAAGGCUCCACGGCUCGUUUAUAAGCACUUUCUGGCGUGCGUGACAGUCCCGCGGACUUGAACCAAUUAUGAGCACGCGCAGCUCUCGUUCUAGAGUCGAGAGUCAGCAACAGUUUUAGGAUCAUUAGUUUUCGGAUCACAAGAAUAUUGCUCUAUCAAUGUUUUGUUUUGAAGGAGAAAAUAAAACAUAUAUCGCUGGACUCGGACGAAACCGACUAGAACAUUUGCGAGACCAAUGACCAAGUCCGAGUUCAAAUACCAACGAGUCCAAGACAAGUCCGAGACCAUAAAAAAACGAGACCGGACUCGAGUACUACAGCACUACCUGGUUGGGCCUGCACUGUUAAAAAUUGCUGUUAUUUUACGUCAAAAUUUCAACAGUAUAAUCCUGUUAUGUCUAAAAACAGGGCAUUCAUGAUUUUUCAUGGAUGUUAGAAUGACGUAAACAAACUUUAACAUUAUUUCGCCGUAUUUAUUGCACAAAGGAUAAAAAAACAGGUAUGUACAGUAGUUUUAGAAAUCGAGAACUGCAGCGAGCACAUGUGGAUGGUUAUCGUCUUCAUUCUCCGAGUUAAUAGGGAUGAACGUGAGCCGACGUCAUUGUGAAGCGGAGUUGAAUUUCUGAUUAAGAUAUUUUCCGAUUACAGGGACUGUACAGUUUGACUUGUCAGCAUGUUUCCAUGUCAGUUAUGUGGACAUCUGUGUAGUAAUCCAGUAGCCUAUGUGAAUCACAUGAGGAUUCAUAGCAAUAGCCCAAACUUACUUCUACAUUGCUGUAUCCAGGACUGCAACAUUUUUCCAAGUGGAAGGGCUGAUCCUUUUUGCCAAUGCAUCUUCCACUGCAGCUGAUGUCGAAAGGACACUUGCACUACCUGCAACUCCCCGACUAAUACUCCUUGGCGGUUCAUUGGGAUUAAUCCCGAAAAAAGCAACAAGGGUGGACGAGUCGUCUCAAAGCGGACAGGAAAGGUCCCCCAGAAAAAGAAAACAGCCAACACCCGUGUUGCCAGUUUACUGAAGGAACUGAUGGACUUUGAGAGGCACUUUAUAUAAGUGAACCCUAUCCUUUACACAACACACAUUCCAUACACAACAAACACAAACAUGAUGUGGGUUAGUUGCACAAUUUUUUCAGGUGUUCAGUUUUGAAUACCAUAAAUUGUGAACCUUUAAUUCUUAGUCACUUUAAGUCAUUUGUUUAGUUUUUUUUACAUGUUCUACUAAUUUGGAGAAUAUUUUGUGGUUCUUUGUGUUCACUGAUGUUCAGGUGUUGAUGAAAGGUGCCACAAAUUCAGUAUUUUAUAAAAGUACAUUAAUUUGACCAUUCACGUAAUUUUCCACAGCCCCUAAUUUUGAGAAUAUUUUGUUAUUUGUGUUUGCUGUUUACAAUAACUGCACUUUAAAUAUUUAAUUUGAUUUAAAUGGCUGCAUUUUUCUGUUACUUUUGCUUUAAAUGUGUUUCAAGCUUUUAAGAAGUUUUUAAAUAAUAAAGAAGAUG